UACGUAGGUGGCAAGCGUUACUCGGAAUCACUAGGCGUAAAGCGCAGGUAGGCGGUUUGAUAAGUCUCUUGUGAAAGCUCCCGGCUCAACUGGGAGAGGUCAAGGGAAACUGUCAGGCUAGAGUGUGGCAGAGGAAGCUAGAAUUCCCGGUGUAGCGGUGAAAUGCGUAGAUAUGCGGAGGAACACCGAUGGCGAAGGCAAUCCCCUGGGCCUGCACUGACGCUCAUGCACGAAAGCGUGGGGAGCAAACAGG
rnacentral:rRNA from 1 species